rnacentral:misc_RNA from 1 species
CGCACAUUGCGCCCCUCGGUAUUCCGUGGGGCAUGCCUGUUCGAGCGUCAUUUACACCCUCAAGCUCUGCUUGGUGUUGGGCGUCUGUCCCGCCUCCGUGCGCGGACUCGCCUCAAAGUCAUUGGCAGCGGUCUCGUCGGCUUCUCGCGCAGCACAUUUGCGCUUCUCGGAGCCCCGGCGGAUCAGCGUCCAGCAAGCAAUUUCAUGACUUGACCUCGGAUCAGGUAGGGAUACCCGCUGAACUUAA